AUUGAACGCUGGCGGCAUGCCUAACACAUGCAAGUCGAGCGGAGUGGCGGACGGGUGAGUAAUGUCUCGGAAUCUGCCCGGUAGCGGGGGAUAACUUCGGGAAAGGGGAGCUAAUACCGCAUACUAUCAGAUGAGCCUAGGUCGGAUUAGCUAGUUGGUGGGGUAAAGGCCUACCAAGGCGACGAUCCGUAGCUGGUCUGAGAGGAUGAUCAGUCACACUGGGACUGAGACACGGCCCAGACUCCUACGGGAGGCAGCAGUGGGGAAUAUUGGACAAUGGGCGAAAGCCUGAUCCAGCCAUGCCGCGUGUGUGAAGAAGGUCUUCGGAUUGUAAAGCACUUUAAGUAGGGAAGCGUUACCUACAGAAUAAGCACCGGCUAACUACGUGCCAGCCGCCGCGGUAAUUC
rnacentral:rRNA from 1 species